rnacentral:rRNA from 1 species
UACGUAGGGGGCAAGCGUUGUCCGGAUUUAUUGGGCGUAAAGCGCGCGCAGGCGGUCCUUUAAGUCUGAUGUGAAAGCCCACGGCUCAACCGUGGAGGGUCAUUGGAAACUGGGGGACUUGAGUGCAGAAGAGAAGAGUGGAAUUCCACGUGUAGCGGUGAAAUGCGUAGAGAUGUGGAGGAACACCAGUGGCGAAGGCGACUCUUUGGUCUGUAACUGACGCUGAGGCGCGAAAGCGUGGGGAGCAAACAGG